rnacentral:rRNA from 1 species
GAAACUGGGAAUGGCUCAUUAAAUCAGUUAUCGUUUAUUUGAUAGUACUUUACUACUUGGAUAACCGUGGUAAUUCUAGAGCUAAUACAUGCUGAAAACCCCAACUUCGGAAGGGGUGUAUUUAUUAGAUAAAAAACCAACGCCCUUCGGGGCUUCUUGGUGAUUCAUGAUAACUUUACGGAUCGCAUGGCCUUGCGCUGGCGACGGUUCAUUCAAAUUUCUGCCCUAUCAACUUUCGAUGGUAAGGUAUUGGCUUACCAUGGUUUCAACGGGUAACGGGGAAUUAGGGUUCGAUUCCGGAGAGGGAGCCUGAGAAACGGCUACCACAUCCAAGGAAGGCAGCAGGCGCGCAAAUUACCCAAUCCCGACACGGGGAGGUAGUGACAAUAAAUACUGAUACAGGGCUCUUUUGGGUCUUGUAAUUGGAAUGAGUACAAUUUAAACCUCUUAACGAGGAACAAUUGGAGGGCAAGUCUGGUGCCAGCAGCCGCGGUAAUUCCAGCUCCAAUAGCGUAUAUUAAAGUUGUUGCAGUUAAAAAGCUCGUAGUUGAAACUUGGGUCUGGCUGGCGGGUCCGCCUCACCGCGUGUACUUGUCCGGCCGGGCCUUCCUUCUGGAGAACCUCAUGCCCUUUACUGGGCGUGUUGGGGACCAGGACUUUUACUUUGAAAAAAUUAGAGUGUUCAAAGCAGGCCUUUGCUCGAAUACGUUAGCAUGGAAUAAUAGAAUAGGACGUGCGGUCCUAUUUUGUUGGUUUCUAGGACCGCCGUAAUGAUUAAUAGGGACAGUCGGGGGCAUCAGUAUUCAAUUGUCAGAGGUGAAAUUCUUGGAUUUAUUGAAGACUAACUACUGCGAAAGCAUUUGCCAAGGAUGUUUUCAUUAAUCAGUGAACGAAAGUUAGGGGAUCGAAGACGAUCAGAUACCGUCGUAGUCUUAACCGUAAACUAUGCCGACUAGGGAUCGGGCGAUGUUCUUUUUCUGACUCGCUCGG